rfam:Pelosinus fermentans B4 ctg5, whole genome shotgun sequence.
AUUAUAUAUUGGCAAACUUACUGAAAGGUAAGGACGCAAAGCUAUAGGGUCUAAGGAUUUAUAAUCUAUGAUCGCCACGCUGCAUAU